GGGUGCUUUCCAGCUAUGAAACAUUGUGUCGUCACUGUGUGACACUGUGUUACACAAGUCGAGUUGUAGCUGGAACGCUGUUUUUACUGCCAAAAAGCAGACCAGUAACAAAAAGUUUGUGAUUUAAUAAUGGAAGCUGAAAAAAUAUAUGUACUGCAGUGUUUGCAAAUAAAUUUCACUACUGUAAUUGGAAAAUUAUAUAAUUAUUAAUUGUUAAUUUAUGUAAAUUCUUAAUUGUAAUAGAAUGUAAUAUUUAAUAUUAAUAGUUAACACGAUUAACAUGUGUGAAAGAUAGUAAUAAUUAAUAGUAAUUUAUCAAUAUAUAUUAAUUAUUGUAUUAUGUACAUUUGUAAUUGUAAUAAAUAAUAAAAUAAAAUACGCAUUAAA